GGACAAACGGGGGGUACAGAGUGGGGCUUUGGCUGGUUUUUGAGGCUGCCCGGUGGGGAGGAAAAAGGUGGAGCGGCUGCAGGUCUGCUCUCCAGACCGCUGUGGGUGCUCGUUAGAGCCGCGGUGUUUCACCGGUCGGGAAAGGCCCCGUGAAGCCACAGCACUCCGGCACAGGCCCGAGGAGCCCCAGCCCGGCGCGUCCUUCCCCCUCAGCUCCCGCACCUCCCGGCCGAAGCGCUCGGGGCGAAAGGGCUCCCUGGGGGACCCCCUAGAGUCCGACCCCCGAGGACAGGAGAGCCCCAGCCCCGCUCCAGCACAGACAGCAGCGUCAAGAGGAAAUGAGAAAGUGAAACUCAACGAGCAGUGUCGGAAACUUCUCGAUAAUCAUCGUCCUGGACACAACCUAACUCAGUUUUUCCGGACGCCAUCUUUUCCUCCCGUCAGAGCACAAGAGACGCCCGAGAAGUUGGCAUCGGGUGUCGCGGCCCCGCAGAACCAGUUUUAGAGCAGACUCAUCGCCGUUCUCGCUCUCGCUCCCGCCCAGCCGAUCAUGGCCGUUUUUCCGGUUGCCAUUGCAUUCUUGGUGGGACUCGCCAUAGGAGCUGUAAUUGUAGCACUGGCAAAUGAUAAGACCAUGGACUUCUCCAUAAAUGCCGAGGGUGCACGUAUCCAUGUGGGUGAGCGUGGAGGACAGGAGCUGAGGGAAAAAACAAAAGGCCUGACUCUGCCCUGCAAGCAUCAGCAGCAUACACUGUGCUGUCUGUUAAAAGAACUCCUGGUGACCAUGGCAGUGAAUAGAAGCAGAUUUCCUUCCUUUCAAGUAGCCUGAUUCAAUGUCUUCCCACUGCUGGAACUGGGAAGCCCCCCCAGCUUCCCCUUUAACAGUAUUUGGAUUACUUUGA